rnacentral:rRNA from 1 species
CCUACGGGAGGCAGCAGUGGGGAAUCUUGCGCAAUGGUCGAAAGACUGACGCAGCGACGCCGCGUGUGGGAGGACGCCUUUCGGGGUGUAAACCACUGUUGCCCGGGACGAACGAGCGCUUUCGAGCGCUGUGACGGUACCGGGUGAGGAAGCACCGGCUAACUCCGUGCCAGCAGCCGCGGUAAUACGGAGGGUGCGAGCGUUGUCCGGAAUCAUUGGGCGUAAAGGGCGCGUAGGUGGCCCGGUCAGUUCGUGGUGAAAGCGCGGGGCUCAACCCUGCGUCGGCCAUGAAUACUGCCGCGGCUGGAGCACUGUAGAGGCAGGCGGAAUUCCGGGUGUAGCGGUGGAAUGCGUAGAGAUCCGGAAGAACACCGGUGGCGAAGGCGGCCUGCUGGGCAGUUUGCUGACACUGAGGCGCGACAGCGUGGGGAGCAAACAGG